CGAAAUCUGCGGAAGUUACUCCGGGAACAUGUGUGUCUUGGGUAUUUGUAGCAGUUGCGUCGCGCGUCGCGCGUCGCGCGUCGCUUUUGCGGAUGUAGCAAUGUUGUGUCGGGAGUACACGAGUCGUAUGAAAGGUAACAAAUAUUCCAGAGUUCUGAUAAGUAGAGAAUGAAUUUUUCGCUGAUCACCGCCAAGUCAGAGACACCUUUCACGAUAUAAGGAUAGGCAAAAUAACUGCCAAGGUUCAAAGGUUGAAACGUGUUCUUAUGAAAGAUACAGUACCGCUCAAAGGAAAGUUCACAAAGCAUAGCCAAGUUUGCAUGAAGAGGAGUUGACUGGUCAUUGCUGAUCUGUGGUGUCUCAAAAUUUGGUGCAUGUCCACAAGAUUGUUCUAAGUUAAAAAAAAAGGACCCACCUGUGGAGUGGAUAUUGGACCCUAAUAAUAGGGAUCAACCCUCGUAUUGGCCGACACUAGGACAGAGAACACUCUGACCAGUGUUGGAUUUCAACCCACGACCGUCGGAUUAGAUCCGUCGCUGUUGUAGGUGUCAACGAGGUGGCGAGAAAUUUGAUAAUAGGUAACGUCAUUAUCUUCGCUAGAGAUGACUUUGCUCCCGCAACAAGUUGCAUACGCACUGUUUUGCAAUUACGCAAAAAAACUUGGCGAAACGGAUCGGAAAUCACAUUGCUAGAACAAAUCAUGGACGGCAUUCGUAGGAAUCCAGAAGGAAAUCGGAAACUGGUGUUGCAAAUCUGAUGACAUUGGGUUUCUCGACUCUUACGGUGUGGGUAUUUCUAUUUCCAAGCCUUUCUCCAACAUUUUUGACACCGUUUACAGGUCCUCGUUUGGAAUGCGAUGGUGUACAGCCCUCUUUUAUAUAACAAUAUAGAGAGAAAUUUCCGAAAAUUUAAGAGUAUGUUAAUAUGCGCUGGGCUAAAGUUCUUUUAGAAUCAGGAUCAGGGAUUAAGCCAGGUCGCUGUCCUGUGGACUUUUCAGGAGGACGUAAAUAAAUUUUCUGUCUUAAACAGGGUAUCGCCACAUGAACUAAUGGCUUAAUUAAACAGGAUAAACUUGUAUGUUGUUUAUUGGGCUUUUGAAGAACGAGGCACAUUUAAAUGAAGUAAAAGUAAUCUGCAAACCCAAGGUCCCCGAAUGGACGCUAUUGUUAUUCAUUGUAAGAAACUAGUGUACUCUUAUUUCAUUCUAGUCUCAAACAGAGUAUGAUUUUGAGUUAAAUGUCCAAGAUAGGGUCUGAAAAUUUCGCAUUCUGUCUUAAACGGGACAGUGAAAUCAGAGAAUUGUCUUAAACAGGGUCAGGGUUUCAACGCCCGAGCCACACCUCCCUACCCAAACAUCUGUUGAGUACCCCCCUAACCCCCGGGGUGGACGUGUUAACUGAUGCGUUUAGUGGGCAAAAGCAAGUACAGUUUCAAUCCAUUUUAGGUUUUUGGCAAAGAAAACGACGCAUUCAACAUUCAAAUCCAAUCAAUGUGGUUAUCAACUGAAAAUCGCGGAAAAUGCACCUAAGACGCUGCAAAAUUUUCUGAGGGACAUGCCCCCAGACCACCCCUAACGGGAUGGAGCCUUCGGCUUCAUGUUAGUUACUAGACGACCACUAACAGAAUCCUGGCUAAGAGAUUGAGAUUUGAGAUUUGUGAAAUACAAUGAAAUCUUUUCAAGUGAAAAAGUGAGGCAUACUUUUUUAUCUUCCGUUUGCUCUGGAUUUUGUUUCAC